rnacentral:rRNA from 1 species
GAUGAACGCUGGCGGCGUGCUUAACACAUGCCAGUCGAACGAAGCACUUUAUUUGAUUUCCUUCGGGACUGAUUAUUUUGUGACUGAGUGGCGGACGGGUGAGUAACGCGUGGGUAACCUGCCUUGUACAGGGGGAUAACAGUUGGAAACGGCUGCUAAUACCGCAUAAGCGCACAGCAUCGCAUGAUGCAGUGUGAAAAACUCCGGUGGUAUAAGAUGGACCCGCGUUGGAUUAGCUAGUUGGUGAGGUAACGGCCCACCAAGGCGACGAUCCAUAGCCGACCUGGGAGGGUGACCGGCCACAUUGGGACUGAGACACGGCCCAAACUCCUACGGGAGGCAGCAGUGGGGAAUAUUGCACAAUGGGCGAAAGCCUGAUGCAGCGACGCCGCGUGAGCGAAGAAGUAUUUCGGUAUGUAAAGCUCUAUCAGCAGGGAAGAUAAUGACGGUACCUGACUAAGAAGCACCGGCUAAAUACGUG